rnacentral:rRNA from 1 species
UACGUAGGGACCGAGCGUUGUCCGGAAUCAUUGGGCGUAAAGAGCGUGUAGGCGGCUAUUUAAGUCCUGCGUGAAAUCCUGCGGCUCAACCGCAGACGGUCGUGGGAAACUGGAUGGCUAGAGUGCGGGAGAGGAGAGUGGAAUUCCCGGUGUAGCGGUGAAAUGCGCAGAUAUCGGGAAGAACACCCGUGGCGAAGGCGACACACUGGCCCGUUACUGACGCUGAGGCACGAAAGCGUGGGGAGCAAACAGG